GGCCGGAUGACCGAGUGGUUAAGGUGUCAGAUUUAAGUAUGUUCUUGUCUCCUGAUGGGCGUAAGCCCGCGCGAGUUCGAUCCUCGCUUCGGCCA